AUUCGAUCGUGAUAGCAAGCAAGUUAUAACAGUGCCAGUACAAGAUCGGACGAAAUUGACUCUACAAUUUUAUAUUGAUAAAUACGUGAAAAAGAGAACAACUAUAGUGACUGAUGGGUGGAAGGGCUAUAGAGGGUUGACCCAAAAAGGAUAUAUUCACAGGAUCGAAGUGUCCAAUUAAUUUGGUUUCCGUGCAGGAUUGGGAAGUUUCUGGAGAUAUGGUUUGAUGUUUGUUAAAGAUUGAGAGGUUCGAGCUCCUACAUGUCGGCCUAGAGAGAAUUUUACUAUCCGCCCUUAGGUUUCUACAGUCAUCGUGGAGGAUUUAGACAUAAAAAAAAACCCACAAGCUAUGACAUUUCAACUGCUCAGAUUUAAAUACACGCCAUGGAUCGCCAUAGAAACAUAGAUCGAACCCAAAGUACAUCGAUACCGACCCCACCCCCCUCACCAAAUUCGAAAUUGAUAUGUAGAAUUGUUAUGAAGCGGUAAAAAAUGACGAACCACGCACGAGAAAUGCAGUGGAAGGUUGGCAUAACGCCUUCAACACACGUCUCCAAGAUCCCACGUUGCUAUGGGUCGAUUCAUGUUACUCAAAUGGACGCAAUGGAACUCAGAUGGACGCAGACGAAUAGUGGCCAGCCCAGUCAAAGAAAACGAAAGGCUUACAGAGAUCAUGACGCGCGAAUCAAGGGAGUCGUUAAUUGCAAAAAUGCAUUGGAUGAUAUUGAAAACUAUCUGCGUGGAAUCGCUCAAUGCAUCCCAAUACAAUUUCAGUUUCUCUGAAAUUCGUCUAAUUAAAAUUUUGAGUUUUUAUUUUCCUUUCUUUAAACUACUCAAGGAUACUUUUUUCGUCGAAGGUUUUUAAUUUUCAAUUUUUCAGUUUUGUUAGUUUUUCCGUUUUUAAAUAAGUCAAUUGAUUACUUUUUCAUCGGCGGUUUAAAAUUUUCUAGUUUUCAGUUUUUUUUACCCUUUCCUGUAUAAGUUUAUCCUUUGACUAGCGCCGCCACGACUGCGACGUUAAUGCCCUUUUAUUAUGCUUAUUCUCGUUUUUUCCUUGGGUUUCUUUUUAAACUGAGUGUUAAGAUUAAUGAACACAAUGCUUCAUCAACUGUUCAAUUUCAAUAUUUCCAUAAGUGAUUCACUAAUUCUGAAUUUCUGUGCUGACUAAAAUAUGU